rnacentral:rRNA from 1 species
GUAACAGGUUAAGCUGACGAGUGGCGAACGGGUGAGUAAUGUAUCGGAACGUGCCCAGUCGUGGGGGAUAACUGCUCGAAAGAGCAGCUAAUACCGCAUACGACCUGAGGGUGAAAGCGGGGGAUCGCAAGACCUCGCGCGAUUGGAGCGGCCGAUAUCAGAUUAGGUAGUUGGUGAGGUAAAGGCUCACCAAGCCGACGAUCUGUAGCUGGUCUGAGAGGACGACCAGCCACACUGGGACUGAGACACGGCCCAGACUCCUACGGGAGGCAGCAGUGGGGAAUUUUGGACAAUGGGCGCAAGCCUGAUCCAGCCAUGCCGCGUGCGGGAAGAAGGCCUUCGGGUUGUAAACCGCUUUUGUCAGGGAAGAAAAGGUUCUGGCUAAUACCUGGGACUCAUGACGGUACCUGAAGAAUAAGCACCGGCUAACUACGUGCCAGCAGCCGCGGUAAUACGUAGGGUGCAAGCGUUAAUCGGAAUUACUGGGCGUAAAGCGUGCGCAGGCGGUUAUGCAAGACAGAGGUGAAAUCCCCGGGCUCAACCUGGGAACUGCCUUUGUGACUGCAUGGCUAGAGUACGGUAGAGGGGGAUGGAAUUCCGCGUGUAGCAGUGAAAUGCGUAGAUAUGCGGAGGAACACCGAUGGCGAAGGCAAUCCCCUGGACCUGUACUGACGCUCAUGCACGAAAGCGUG